rnacentral:rRNA from 1 species
CUUUGCAURCACGAAAGUGUGACAGGGCUAUCCCGAGUGCCGUCCGCUGAGGWUGGCUUUUACYCASAUCUAGAAAGCUGGKGGAAUAAGGAGAGGGCAAGUCUGGUGUCAGCCGCCGCGGUAAUACCAGCUCUCCSAGUGGUGUGGAUGUUUAUUGGGSCUAAAGCAUCCGUAGCUGGCUGAUUKAGUCCCCUGUUAAAUCCAMCGAAUUAAUCGUUGGAUUGCGGGGGAUACUGCUCGGCUAGGKKACGAGAGAGGCAGACSGUAUUUUCGGGGUAGGGGUGAAAUCCUAUAAUCCCGGSAAGACCACCARUGGCKAAGGCUGUCUGCUAGAACGCGCCCGACGGWGAGGGAUGAAAGCUGGGGGAGCGAACCGGAUUAGAUACCCGGGUAGUCCCAGCUGUAWACGAUGCAUGCUAAGUGUUUGGACGGCCACGWGCCGCUCUAGUGCCGCAGGAAGCUGUUAAGUCUGCCGCCUGGGGAGUACGGAUCGCAAGACUGAAAACUUAAAAGGAAUUGGGGGGGGAGCAC